AUCGCUUCUCGGCCUUUUGGCUAAGAUCAAGUGUAGUAUAUGUUCUUUUCAGUUUAAUAUCUGAUACAUCCGCUAUCCGAGGACAAUAUAUUAAAUGAAUUUUUGGAGCAGGGAGAUGGAAUAGAAGCUUGCUCUGUCCACUCCACACAUCAACCCGGUAUUACAGUACCUCUGGGAAUGGUGCAAGAAGG